AUUGAACGCUGGCGGCAGGCCUAACACAUGCAAGUCGAGCGAGCGGCGGACGGGUGAGUAAUGUCUGGGAAACUGCCUGAUGGAGGGGGAUAACUACUGGAAACGGUAGCUAAUACCGCAUACCAUCCGAUUUGCCCAGAUGGGAUUAGCUAGUACGUGGGGUAACGUCUCACCUAGGCGACGAUCCCUAUCUGGUCUGAGAGGUUGACCAGCCACACGGGAACUGAGACACGGUCCAGACUCCUACGGGAGGCAGCAGUGGGGAAUAUUUCACAAUGGGCGCAAGCCUGAUGCAGCCAUGCCGCGUGGGUGAAGAAGGCCUUCGGGUUGUAAAGCACUUUCAGCGGGGAGGCGUUACCCGCAGAGGAAGCACCGGCUAACUCCGUGCCAGCAGCCGCGGUAAUAC
rnacentral:rRNA from 1 species